rnacentral:lncRNA from 1 species
ACUCAUGAAAAAGAUUUUUCUUCCCCUUUUUUCCUUUGCUGCUUUGUUCUUUAUUGAAGAAGUGUAUUAGUUUUCUUUUUAUGUAUGGAGAAGUACCACAAAGUUACUAGCUUAAAUAAUACCUAUUUACUCUUUUACAAUUUCUAUAGGUGAGAAAUCUGGGUUACCUGAUAGCUGGGUUCUCUGUUCAGCAUCUCACCAGGCUAAAAUCAAGAUGUUAACUGUGGCUGCGAUUCUCAUCUGAGGUUCAAGAUCUUCUCCCAUGCUCAUUACUUGUUGGCAGGAUUUCCUUGUGGCUAUAUGACUAAAGUUGUCAUCUUCUUGCUGUUGGCCAGGGACCUGUCUCAGUUCCUUACCAUGUGUCCACCUGAGCAGUUCACAUCAGGACUGUUUACUUUCAUCUCUAUCUCUGACCUCUGGACUCUUUUUGUGUGUGUGAUUUUCUUGGGCUGCUCCCGAGGCAUAUGGAGGUUCCCAGGCUAGGGGUCGAAUCAGCUGUAGCCGCCGACCUACACCAGAGCCAUAGUAAUGCAGGAUCUGAGCCACAUCUGCAACCUACACCACAGCUCAAGGCAACACCAGAUCCUCAACCCACUGAGUAAGGCCAGGGAUUGAACCUGCAACCUCAUGGUUCCUAGUCAGAUUCAUUAACCACUGAGCCAUGAUGGGAACUCCUGGACUCCUUUUUAAGAACCCCUUUUAAAGCUGAUAUGAGAAAGUCAGAUCCACUCAGGAUGAUCUUCUUUUUGGUGAACUCAACUGAUUAGGAACCUUAAAUACAUACACAAAAAUCUGUUUACCAUAUGACAAUCACAGGAGUGAUAUCCCAUCAUCUCUCCCAUACUCAAGAGAGGGGAAUAUACAGGGUGUGGGUCAUUGAGGGUUAUUAGAAUUUUGCCUGCUAUGGAGAAAGAAGCAUCUUUACAGUUGCUUCGGUAGAGUCUGAAUGUAUAGGAAGUGUGGCUGUGUAAGAAGAGCAUGUAGGCAGAGCAGUAACCUCACUUGGUAAAUUUACUUAAACUUGUUUUGUUUUAACACUUUUUCCUUUGCAUACUUCCUGGUACAUCGGUUGAAGUGCCUCCCUCUAUAAAAGCAUUUUAUUGUGUUUAAAGGAAAUUAAAAGUAAAAAUAAAAUUUUAAAAAUAAGCGAAAAGAAACACAAUAGAGGAGUUCCUAUUGUGGCUCAGCAACCUGACUAGUAUCCAUAAGAAUGCUGGUUUGACCCCUGGCCUCCCUCAGUGGGUUGGGGAUCCAGGAUGUAAGUCACAGAUGGGGCUUGGGUUGGAUCCUCUGUGGCAGUGGCUGUGGUAUAGGCCAGCAGCUAUAGCUCCCUAUUGGACCCCUAGCCUGGGAACUUCUGUAUGCCAUGGGUGUGGCCCUAAAAAGCAAAAAAAAAAGCAAUAGAAAUUAUGUAAUUCUCAUUAUUGCUUGAUACCUAUUGUUUUACUCAUUUUAGAGAUGAGAUUGAAUCUCAGGGAAGUUAAGGAAUUUAAAUGCUUCAAGAGCACACUCCUAUUAAAUGACAAGUAGUUUCAUAAACUCAUUGCACCAGUUGCUGUGUUGUGAUUAGUCCAGCAACUUUUGAGGAAGGAAUUAUGAAAGAGAAUAUUAUCUAAAUAGAUUAGGGAUAUUACUGAUGGACAAAGAGGGUAGCAAAAAAUUUCAUUUUCGUAUGUGGGAGGUUUUACAGUCCAAGAAGCAAAAUAUCUUCAAGAGAAGACAAGACAGUUUUAGUUAAGAAUAGCAAGAUUUAGAGAUUAUAACCAGUUAGUUGCCUAAAAGUUUCUUAGGAGUUUUGCUGUAAUUAAGGAGUUCUAGAGAUGGCUUUUUAUCUUGUUAGAAGUUCAUAGUUACAAAACAAAAACAUUUUUUGUUGUAACCUAAUACAGACAUACACACAAUCGAAAUGACAUUUAACUUUUAUGCAGUACACACUGAUAUUUUAAUUUUUUUUUUUUUAAGAAUGCUGGUUGCAAGUCACCUGUGUGAUAUCAUGCCUUACAGUAACCCAUAGUUAGAAAAGCCCUAUUAUAAUCCCAUUGUAAUUGGGAGGGUGCAGAGUAAAUCAGGAGAAAUCAUUUUACUUCCAUCAGAUUGGCAAACAUUAAAAAUUCUUAGAGGAAUUCCCUGGUAGCUCAAUGGGUUGGGGAUCUGAUGUUGGCAAAAUGUCACUACUGUGGCUCUUAUUCCCUAGCCUGGGAACUUCUGAGUGUUGUGGAUGUGGCUUAAAACAAACAAAAUUCUGAUAAUAUUAAGUGUUGAUGAAAAUGUGCAGAAAUAAGACUCUCAUUUCUGCAAAAGAAAAUGACUUUUGUAGUAAGCUGAAGAAUACAUGUACCUUAGACCUAGCAGUUUUACUUCUGCCUUUAUAUCCCUGAUGAGAGAAAUUCUUGUAAACUGGCAUAUGUGUACACACGUGUUCACAAUACCCUUGUUUACAGUAGCUAAAAUUUAGAAACAAAAUGUUCAUCAUUCUACCACUGAUUUUCAAACCCUUGUUUGUUUCAAAUGUUAAAAUAAUUUUGAUUCUUAGGAUAACUUCAUUAAGUCACAGGAUAUUAUCCUCUUUAUGUUUAAUAUUUUGUUAGGAUUUGGGUAUAUUUCUUCAUCAGGGAUAUUUGUAGUUUUCUUUGGUUAUAGUAUCUUUGUUAGGUUUCUGUAUUAGAAUUAUGAUUGCCUCAUAAAAUAAGCUGGGGAGAUAUUCCCUUUACUUACUGAAAAACUUUGUGUAAUACUGAUGUUGAUUUUUCUUUUUUUGAUGGACUUUAUCAGUGAUACUAUCUGGACUGGAACUUUGUGUGUGUGUGUGGGAAAACUUGGUAAAUUCAAAAUCACUUUUUUUUUUACUAGACAUAGGGCUAUUCAGAUUUUGUUGUAAGUCAGUUUUGUUGUGUUUUUAAAGAAAUUUAUUGAGAUAUGAUUCCCUGUUAUCCUUUGAAUGGCUGUAGGAUUUGUAGUGGUGUUACUGGUGUAGUGGUGUUUAUUUCUGGUAGUGUUAAUGUGUGAUUUUUCACUUGACCAGUCUAAUUCUUGGUUUAUCAAUUUGUAUAUCUUUUCAAAAAUAACAUUGUUAAUUUUCUCCAUUCAUGUUUUUCUCUCAUUUGUUUCUAUUCUUUAUAAUUUUUUUUCCCCCCGGUGCAUUUUGCUUUUCAUUUUCUAGUUUUUUUAAGUGGUGGUAGGUUUCAUUUAUUAUUUUCUAAUACAAGCAUUCAAAGCUGUAGAUUUUCCUCCAAGCAUUGCAGUAUUCCCUAGAUUUUGCAUUUUAGGGCAACACCCAUGGAAUAUGGAAGUUCCCAGGCCAGGAGUUGAAUCAGAGCUACAGCUGCCGGCCUACACCACAGCCACAUCAGUGUGGGAUCUGAGCUGCCUCUGUGACCUACACCACUCAUGGCAACACCCGAUUCCUGACCCACUGAGUAAGGCCAGGGGUUGAACCUACAUCCUCAUGGGUACUAGUUGGAUUCAUUUCUGCUGCUCCACAAUGGGAACUCCUUGAUAUUUUUAUUAUCAUUUAGUUUAAAAUAGUUUCUGAAGUGCUUUGUGAGUUCUUCAUUGACCCAAAGACUAUUUCAAAGUGUGUUAAUUUUCAAAUAUUUGGGAUUAUAUUAGAUAUCUUAUUAUUUAUAACUUAAUUUCAUUUUGAUGAAAAUAUACUCUAUGACUUUAAUCUUAAAUUUAUUGAACUUUGUUUUAUGGUUCAUCAUAUGUUUUAUCAUAUGGUUUAAAGGUCAGUGUACCUUUCAGACUUAAAAAGAACUUGGGUUUGCUGUUGUUGGGUGUAGUGUUCUGUAAAUAUCAAUUAGAUUGCAAUGUUUUGGUAGCAUUUUUCAAAUCAUUUAUGUCUUUGUUUGUUUGGUUUUGUUUUUUGGUAUAGUUCUCUGAGCUUCUGAGAGGGAUGUUAAAAUAUCCAACUAUGACUGGAAUUACCUGUUUCUCCCUAAAUUUCAUUAAUUUUUACUUCAUGUGUCUUGACACUCCAUUAUCAGGCACAUAUAAUUUAUGAUUAUUAUGUCUUUCUGAUGAAUUAGGCUUUAUAACAUUAUGAAAUGUCCCUCUUUAUCCCUGGUAGUAGUCUUUGCCUUGAAAAUCUACUCUUUCUGAUAUUAAUAUGGCUAGUCCAACUUUCUUGAGCUUAUAUUAUUUCUGUAAUGUCUCUUCCUCCAUGCAUUCACUUCUCUCUUUUGUCUUCAUAUUUAAAAUAUGGAAGGCAGCAUAUAGUUGAGUUUUGCUUUUUUGCCCUUUUCUGACAGUAUGGAACUGGAAUCUCUUAGCUAUAGUGAAUGUUGAUUAUGUUCUAAUGCCUGUCAAGAACUGUGAAAGUUUUGAGAUUUUACUCUUUUUAUAUGUAGGCUAACAAAUUAACCAGCUACAACAUGAAGUCAUGAGACUGCUUGAUCAGAGAUGAACAGUGCAUUACAGCAAUAGCAGUAGCAGUAGUACAAGUACCUCAGUGUAUCAGGUUUUGGAGCCCCAGUUUGUACAUGGUAGAAUGAAGGUGUGAUACCUGUAUAUGCAAGGGGUUGUGUUAGAGGAAAAGAAUCCCAAACUUAGAGAAAUCCAGAUGUUCAAAAUGGGUCCUAAGCAUGCCUUCCCUUUUCUCUGAGAGAGAUGCUGUUUCUCUUUUCCGAGACUAUUCAUUGUACAAAUAUACUUGAAGAGAUGGAUCAAAAUUAGUCGAUGUCUCUGUUUUUAAGAUAUUCAGAAAAGCAAGAGGCUCAUGGAGAAUUAAAAAUGUGCAGUGAAUUUUCUCAAUUUUCCCUAUGUUAUUAGCUUAGGUUUUUCUUCUGUUCCUUACAUGGCCCCAUCCUAGCAUUCCAGCUCUCUGCACUGUACUUCUUUAUGGGUUUUAUGCUCUCACCGAAUUGAUUACAGACUUGUAUAUCCUUUUCUUUUCUCCCCCUACCAUGCUUUUGUUGUGGUGUAUAAUGUAUAUGUAAGAAAACACUCAUUGAGCAUUUACUGUGUACCAGUAAAUAUUUUACAAUAGCCUUGUGAAGAAGUUACUAUUAUAUUGAUGUUUUAUAGGUUAAAUUAAACUUACUCUUAAAUUAACUGAAUUAAGUUCAUUAGAUUUGACUAAACCUCUCAAGUUUGUGAUGAGGGAGGGACACACUGUAGAGAAGUGCUUGGAGUAUUUUAUUUUAUUUUAUUUUUUUUUGGCUUUUUGGCUUUUUGGCUUUUUGUUGUUGUUAUUGUUGCUAUCUCUUGGUUCUUUGGCCACUCCCGUGGCAUAUGGAGGUUCCCAGGCUAGGGGUCGAAUCGGAGCUGUAGCCACCGGCCUACGCCAGAGCCACAGCAACGCGGGAUCCGAGCCGUGUCUGCAACCUACACCACAGCUCACGGCAACGCCGGAUCGUUAACCCACUGAGCAAGGGCAGGGACCGAACCCGCAACCUCAUGGUUCCUAGUCGGAUUCGUUAACCACUGCACCACGACGGGAACUCCUUUUUUUUUUUUUUUUUGGCAAUGACCACGGCAUGCAGAAGUUCCCCAGCCAGAGAUCACACCUGCCCCCAGCACUAAUAACACCAGAUCCUUAACCCUUUGAGCCAGCUGGGAACUCCUUCUGUUCCUUGGUCUUAGUAGUAGUGACAUGGAGUGUUCACUUUAUAAUUCUUUACUUUUUUUUUUGGCCUUGCCCAUGGCAUGUGUAAGCUCCUGGGCCAGGGAUCAAACCCAUGCCACUGCAGCUACAAUGACAGAUUCUUAACCCACUGAGCCAUCAAGGUACUCCCACUUUAUAACUCUUUAAACUCUUAUCUAGGUUUUAAUGUAUUGUGCUGUAUAAUUGAUAUAGCUUACAACAAAGGAAGAACAGAAAAAGCAGAUGAAUACUGAGCUGUAGGAUCUGUGUUAAUCUUUCCGAUUAACUUCAGCCAACAUUUAUCACCCUUUUUGUAUUUUUAUUGAUUGCAAAUACAUUAUUGCAUUUAUUGUUGGCAACAUAAGAUUUGGUAAGUGGUGGUGUUCGUAAGGCACAAUAUUUUGUAGACUAAUUGUUGCCAGGCCACACGGCUUGUAAAUGAUAGAGCCAGGAUUUAAAUCCAGGAUUACUUUCAGAACCCAGACUCUAAGUUUCUUAAAGGGGCAUUUUUUUCUCAGC